GAUGAACGUUGGCGGUGUGCCUAAUACAUGCAAGUCGAACGAAGUUGAUAGCGAUAUUAGCUUAGUGGCGAACGGGUGAGUAACGCGUUGGUGAUCUGCCUUGAAGUGUGGAAUAACGUUUCGAAAGGAACGCUAAUACCGCAUGUGCUCUCGAUUUUCAGAAAGUUGAGAGUAAAGGAUUUAUUCGCUUCAAGAGGAGCCUGCGUCCCAUCAGCUGGUUGGUAGGGUAACGGCCUACCAAGGCUAUGACGGGUAGGGGACCUGAGAGGGUGGCCCCCCACAAUGGAACUGAAACACGGUCCAUACACCUACGGGUGGCAGCAGUAGGGAAUAUUAGAAAUGGACGAAAGUCUGAUCUAGCAACACCGCGUGUGCGAAGAAGGCCUUCGGGUCGUAAAGCACUUUUUGGAAGGAAUAGGAAGGAAUGUACUUCCAGAAUAAGUCUCGGCUAACUACGUGCCAGCAGCCGCGGUAAGGCUACGUAGA
rnacentral:rRNA from 1 species